UUUGCAGAAGGUGGUACGUGCACCACAGAAAGUACAACCAUGCUUUGUGGCUUGCAAAUAUUUUUUCAGUGAGCCCAGAGAAUACUCUCUGCAUAGGUGACACUGCCUGACAUACGAUGCAAGGUGGUAUGAUGGGAUUUGACAGUGCAGAUGAACAAAGACACCAGCAGAAGGGAAAUCAGGACAAGGGAUUUGUAAUGGAGACUGAGCCAGUGGAUCAUUCACAGUCACAAAUGGAACGUGCCACCCCCAACAAUGGGCUGACUCACUGCUUCAGCACUGACUCAGAGCAAGAAAACCCACCUCACAAAGCUCACCAGCAGUUCCUCUGGCACUCUGGAUUCUCCCUGGCAAACCUCCACGCAAAGAGUGAGCAUGCCUGAACUUGAUUAGCUGGGGAGAUAAAGUGAGCUCACUGGCCUAGAGCUGGGCUGCAUGAAAUCACACCUUUGUGAAACCAACACAAAUGACUGCAAGGGAAGAGUAGCAGAAUGCAUUAAUCCUAAAGAAUAACACAAGUGUUUACUGCAAACAUGAGUCAACAUUCCUGUUUAAAGUUGCUUAACAGUUUCAGCCACUGCUCUGCGAAAUGGAAUUUAUUUGGAAAACAAUUCCUCGGAACUACAUGAACUAUUCUUGCUCUCUUUUCUUAUGAAUGCAUACGCUUAAAGUAAUUCCAAGCAGUUUGGAUUUCACUAAUGAUGGAAAGGCACUGAGAAGUGAGGACUCUUCUCUGCUAUACUGUUACAAAGGAAAUGUGAUUUACUCCAUCAUUUCUUAUUUUAAUGUAAUAGUAUUUUUCUUACAGAGACAUCUUUUUCUUUUCAUCAACAGAUAAUAAAGAGAGAGCCACUGUGUUUAAUGUGGUGUGGAACUGUUUGCUUUAAACAAUGGAUUUUUUUUCCCCAAUUCUACAUUCAGAAGAUAUUUAUUGGGGAAGUGACAGUAGCUAAAUGAGUUAUAGAAGUCACAGCAGAGCUGAAGAUGAGUUGAUUGCUUUUCCAAUUGGCUACAACCAAGUAUAUAAUGUCACUUUUGUUGCACUGCUUUCCCAGUCCCCAUGUUUAUCUUACACAUGGCCCCACAUUCAGAAACAAAUGUGCUUUCAUAACUGAAGUAAUUAUGAGCUGUCAGCUGAGCUGCCAUAGCAGGCUGCAUGCAGGCACUCAGCACAACUGGGAAGCUGGGCGUGUUGGUUCAGAACUGCUUAUGGUGGCCAAAUCUUCCUGGUGGCAAUGUGGAUGCUUUAGCUCAGCUUACUGUUGGUUACUGGAUUCUUUUUAACUGCAUAUAUGCAUUGCUGGGCUCCUGCAAAGAUGCAGGCAGCAGCACUCACACAGGCCUUAGGCCAUGCCUAAAAUGGGAGCUGGGACUGGAUUUAUGGUUCAGAACACAGUGUUUUCCUAACAAAAGACUCGUAAAUAUCUGAGUAUCUCCCGUUGUGUCGCAUUGACUCAUCUAUCACAACCUUCUCAACAGACCUCUCAGCUUUCCAGCAGCCAAACCAACCCACCAAGCCCAACCUCAUAAACCUGCCACAACCCCCUAACGCUCAGGAACCAGGCAAGGUGACCAAAAAGGUACAUCCAGCAGCAAGACGUGCAAAGCAAACUGCCACCUCUCCCACACAGAUGGAUGAGGGGGAUUUAAAGGCUCUUGCUGGCUGAUCAAAGGCUCUGGGCCUGACUCAGUGCCGAGUGAAGUCAAUGGAAAGCCUCACAUAGACUGCAGUGGGCUGUGGAUGAGACGCUGUAUUCAUACGCUAUUAUUAUUGUAAUUGAUUU